GGUCGGGCCCCGCACGAUAAGGACCCGCAAACCCCGUCAGGUCCGGAAGGAAGCAGCGGUAGCGGGAACCCUGUGCGUUGCGGAUCCGUCCGGCCCGG
rnacentral:SRP_RNA from 1 species